ACAUGCAAGUCGAACGGUGAACACGGAGCUUGCUCUGUGGGAUCAGUGGCGAACGGGUGAGUAACACGUGAGCAACCUGCCCCUGACUCUGGGAUAAGCGCUGGAAACGGCGUCUAAUACUGGAUAUGUGACGUGACCGCAUGGUCUGCGUCUGGAAAGAAUUUCGGUUGGGGAUGGGCUCGCGGCCUAUCAGCUUGUUGGUGAGGUAAUGGCUCACCAAGGCGUCGACGGGUAGCCGGCCUGAGAGGGUGACCGGCCACACUGGGACUGAGACACGGCCCANACUCCUACGGGAGGCAGCAGUGGGGAAUAUUGCACAAUGGGCGCAAGCCUGAUGCAGCAACNCCGCGUGAGGGACGACGGCCUUCGGGUUGUAAACCUCUUUUANCANGGAAGAAGCAAAAGUGACGGUNCCUGCAGAAAAAGCGCCGGUUAACUACGUGCCAACAGCCG
rnacentral:rRNA from 1 species